UGGAUCCAGACUUUGAUCAUGGCUCAGGAUGAACGCUAGCUACAGGCUUAACACAUGCAAGUCGAGGGGAAACGAUAGAGAAAGCUUGCUUUUUCUAGGCGUCGACCGGCGCACGGGUGAGUAACGCGUAUCCAACCUGCCCAUCACUUGGGGAUAACCUUGCGAAAGUAAGACUAAUACCCAAUGAUAUCUCAAGAAGACAUCUGAAUGAGAUUAAAGAUUUAUCGGUGAUGGAUGGGGAUGCGUCUGAUUAGCUUGUUGGCGGGGUAACGGCCCACCAAGGCGACGAUCAGUAGGGGUUCUGAGAGGAAGGUCCCCCACAUUGGAACUGAGACACGGUCCAAACUCCUACGGGAGGCAGCAGUGAGGAAUAUUGGUCAAUGGGCGAGAGCCUGAACCAGCCAAGUAGCGUGCAGGAAGACGGCCCUAUGGGUUGUAAACUGCUUUUAUAAGGGAAUAAAGUGAGCCUCGUGAGGCUUUUUGCAUGUACCUUAUGAAUAAGGACCGGCUAAUUCCGUGCCAGCAGCCGCGGUAAUACGGAAGGUCCGGGCGUUAUCCGGAUUUAUUGGGUUUAAAGGGAGCGUAGGCCGGAGAUUAAGCGUGUUGUGAAAUGUAGACGCUCAACGUCUGCACUGCAGCGCGAACUGGUUUCCUUGAGUACGCACAAAGUGGGCGGAAUUCGUGGUGUAGCGGUGAAAUGCUUAGAUAUCACGAAGAACUCCGAUUGCGAAGGCAGCUCACUGGAGCGCAACUGACGCUGAAGCUCGAAAGUGCGGGUAUCGAACAGGAUUAGAUACCCUGGUAGUCCGCACGGUAAACGAUGGAUGCCCGCUGUUGGUCUGAAUAGGUCAGCGGCCAAGCGAAAGCAUUAAGCAUCCCACCUGGGGAGUACGCCGGCAACGGUGCAACUCAAAUGAAUUGACGGA
rnacentral:rRNA from 1 species